UACGUAGGGUGCAAGUGUUGUCCGGAAUUAUUGGGCGUAAAGAGCUCGUAGGCGGUCUGUCGCGUCGGCUGUGAAAACCCGGGGCUCAACCCCGGGCCUGCAGUCGAUACGGGCAGACUAGAGUGCGGUAGGGGAGACUGGAAUUCCUGGUGUAGCGGUGAAAUGCGCAGAUAUCAGGAGGAACACCGGUGGCGAAGGCGGGUCUCUGGGCCGUAACUGACGCUGAGGAGCGAAAGCGUGGGGAGCGAACAGG
rnacentral:rRNA from 1 species